AGAUUGAACGCUGGCGGCAUGCCUAACACAUGCAAGUCGAACGGGAGUAGCAAUACUCUAGUGGCGGACGGGUGAGGAAUACGUAGGAAUUUGCCCUUAAGUGGGGGAUAACCCGGGGAAACCCGGAUUAAUACCGCAUGACCUCGAAAGAGCAAAGUGGGGGAUCGCAAGACCUCACGCUUUUGGAGAAGCCUACGUCGGAUUAGCUAGUUGGUGAGGUAAUGGCUCACCAAGGCGACGAUCCGUAACUGGUCUGAGAGGAUGAUCAGUCACACCGGAACUGAGACACGGUCCGGACUCCUACGGGAGGCAGCAGUGGGGAAUAUGGACAAUGGGACGCAAGCCUGAUCCAGCAAUGCCGCGUGUGUGAAGAAGCCUUCGGGUGUAAAGCACUUUAAGUAGGAAGAAAAACUCGACUACG
rnacentral:rRNA from 1 species